UGGAGAUGGAACUUCCGCCAGCUCCGCCCUCUUCCACUUCCGAAGGCUUGUUGGUCUGUGUGGACAAUAGGGACCAAUGUCCUAGGACCUCUGACCUUUGCGGUUAAGUCCAUACUGGACCUCACCGAGAAGAUCUCCCCUGCAGUAGAUUUCUCCAAAGCUUCUGUGUUCCCAUCACCUAUAUCUUGAGGAGGCUCAUGGGUGUGCUCAGCCAGUAGAAACUAGGCCAUCAGGUCCUAGGACCUCUGACCUCCUCCCAUUGGAGAGGACCGCCCCCUCCUUCCGUUGGAGCCCCCCUGAAGGAGGACACUUCUACAAGGCCUCCAAGUUACCCCCCUAUUUCCUGAGGUGAGUGUGCGUGAAGACACACACGCGAAGACAAACGCAAGCACACAUGCAUGAAGCCGAGUAAGUGAGGAUUCUGAGGGAGAGCCCUUAGUGGUCCCUCACGGCUUCAUGAAAACAUGUGGAAUGGCCAGGGACUCACUGUGUCACCAAGGAAGACCUGAAACUGCUGUGUCCACUGUCACCACCUUUGGGAGUACCAAGAUCACAGGUCUGAGCUCCCGUGCCUCGGUGCGAGGAGGGAACUGAUGGCUCCCUUCCUGCAUGCUAGGCUAGCACUCUGCCAGCUGAAAUUACUCCCCGAUGACACUAC